rnacentral:snRNA from 1 species
GCGACGCAAACAUUUAAAGAUGGU